rnacentral:lncRNA from 1 species
UUUACUCGUGAAGCUGGGGCCCGGGAGCCGAGCCAAGCCGCUCCCCGUCUGCCUGGGCCCGGUGGCUGCGAGCACGGCGUAGGGCGGUGGGAGUGAGGUUGGGGCCGGGGCAGCGCGCGGCUCACUUGCUUUUUCUGGAAACUCCCUUUUCCCAAGGAAAGGAAGAGGCGGCGAGGGCCAGGCCCGGUGCGACGCGAGGCGGCGCGGAGCUGAGCGGAGCCCACAGAGCAGGCGGCUGGAGCAGCGCAGCUACGAGUGCGGACGGUGCGGCUGCUGGGAGAGCUUGUUCCAGAGAAGACCGCUCAUAUGCUCGACUUACUGGAAAGGAAGAUCUUAAGCAGCAAGAAAAUAAAUGUUGCCUUGAGCCAGAAUAUAAGUGACACAAUCGUCAACUACUUAUUAAAAGUGAAUCUAAAUAAGGAGCAGGAGGAAAGCACUGCUGCUGUCCUACUAGCUUUAGAAGCCCACAGCCCCAAAGUGGUUAUCAAUAAUUUUUGGGACCGAAUGAAGGAGCAAAGCGUGCCCCCGCCAAAUCUUCUUCGGACAAUGGGGAAGCUCAUCCUUUAUGAAGGUAUGGUACCCUACAUUGGUGCUACAUGGAGCUAUAUCCUGCCCCUCCUGAGAAAGGCCCAGACUGAAGAAGAAAGACUGGGAUUAUGUAAUGGUGGCUGA